rnacentral:rRNA from 1 species
UACGGAGGAUGCGAGCGUUAUCCGGAUUUAUUGGGUUUAAAGGGUGCGUAGGCGGGCUUUUAAGUCAGCGGUAAAAAUUCGGGGCUCAACCCCGUCCGGCCGUUGAAACUGGGGGCCUUGAGUGGGCGAGAAGAAGGCGGAAUGCGUGGUGUAGCGGUGAAAUGCAUAGAUAUCACGCAGAACCCCGAUUGCGAAGGCAGCCUUCCGGCGCUCUACUGACGCUGAGGCACGAAAGUGCGGGGAUCGAACAGG